rnacentral:rRNA from 1 species
AGUCACUGACAUUAGAUACCCGUGUAGUCCAGGGUGUAAACGCUGCAGACUUGGUGUUGGAAGCCCUUUGGGGGCAUUCAGUGCCGGAGAGAAGUUGUUAAGUCUGCUACUUGGGGAGUACGUCCGCAAGGAUGAAACUUAAAGGAAUUGGCGGGGGAGCACCGCAACGGGAGGAGCGUGCGGUUUAAUUGGAUUCAACACCGUAAAACUCACCAGGGAAGACUGUUACAUGAAGGCCGAGAUGAAGACUCUGCCAGAUUUUCAG